rnacentral:rRNA from 1 species
GACGAACGCUGGCGGCGUGCUUAACACAUGCAAGUCGAACGGAAAGGCCCCUUUGGGGGUACUCGAGUGGCGAACGGGUGAGUAACACGUGAGUAACCUGCCCUUGACUUCGGGAUAACUUCAGGAAACUGGGGCUAAUACCGGAUAGGAAUCCUUGCUGCAUGGUGGGGGUUGGAAAGCUUCGGCGGUUUUGGAUGGACUCGCGGCUUAUCAGCUUGUUGGUGGGGUAGUGGCUUACCAAGGCUUUGACGGGUAGCCGGCCUGAGAGGGCGACCGGCCACAUUGGGACUGAGAUACGGCCCAGGCUCCUACGGGAGGCAGAAGUGGGGAAGAUUGCACCAGGGGCGGAAGCCUGAUGCAGCAACGCCGCGGGCGGGAGGACGGCCUUCGGGUUGUAAACCGCUUUCAGCAGGGGCGAAGCUUGUGGUGACGGUACCUGCAGAAGAAGCACCGGCUAACUACGUG